rnacentral:rRNA from 1 species
CACGUAGGGCGCAAGCGUUGUCCGGAAUUAUUGGGCGUAAAGAGCUCGUAGGCGGUCUGUUAAGUUUGGUGUGACAGUUGGUGGCUUAACUGCCAAAGUGCUUCGAAAACUGAUCGACUUGAGGGCUUCAGAGGGACACGGAAUUCCGGGUGGAGUGGUGAAAUGCGUAGAGAUCCGGAGGAACACCGAAGGCGAAGGCAGUGUCCUGGGGAGUACCUGACGCUCAGGUGCGAAAGCCAGGGGAGCGAACGGG